AUUGAACGCUGGCGGCAGGCCUAACACAUGCAAGUCGAGCGGCAGCACUUCGGGUGGCGAGCGGCGGACGGGUGAGUAACACGUAGGAAUCUACCUAGUAGUGGGGGAUAGCCCGGGGAAACUCGGAUUAAUACCGCAUACGCUCUACGGAGGAAAGGGGGCUUCGGCUCUCGCUAUUAGAUGAGCCUGCGUCGGAUUAGCUAGUUGGUGAGGUAAAGGCUCACCAAGGCGACGAUCCGUAACUGGUCUGAGAGGAUGAUCAGUCACACUGGAACUGAGACACGGUCCAGACUCCUACGGGAGGCAGCAGUGGGGAAUAUUGGACAAUGGGGGAAACCCUGAUCCAGCCAUGCCGCGUGUGUGAAGAAGGCCUGGUUG
rnacentral:rRNA from 1 species